rnacentral:rRNA from 1 species
AGACCCGAAACCCGGUGAUCUAGCCAUGGGCAGGUUGAAGGUUGGGUAACACUAACUGGAGGACCGAACCGACUAAUGUUGAAAAAUUAGCGGAUGACCUGUGGCUGGGGGUGAAAGGCCAAUCAAACCGGGAGAUAGCUGGUUCUCCCCGAAAGCUAUUUAGGUAGCGCCUCGUGAAUUCAUCUCCGGGGGUAGAGCACUGUUUCGGCUAGGGGGCCAUCCCGGCUUACCAACCCGAUGCAAACUGCGAAUACCGGAGAAUGUUAUCACGGGAGACACACGGCGGGUGCUAACGUCCGUCGUGAAGAGGGAAACAACCCAGACCGCCAGCUAAGGUCCCAAAGUCAUGGUUAAGUGGGAAACGAUGUGGGAAGGCCCAGACAGCCAGGAUGUUGGCUUAGAAGCAGCCAUCAUUUAAAGAAAGCGUAAUAGCUCACUGGUCGAGUCGGCCUGCGCGGAAGAUGUAACGGGGCUAAACCAUGCACCGAAGCUGCGGCAGCGAACGUAUCACCCAAGACAACUUUACGGAGUUGACGAUUGACGGAGCGAAGCGACGUCAAAGCGUUCAUUAAAGUCGAGUUGGCUUAGGGAUACGUUCGUUGGGUAGGGGAGCGUUCUGUAAGCCUGUGAAGGUGUGUCGUGAGGCAUGCUGGAGGUAUCAGAAGUGCGAAUGCUGACAUAAGUAACGAUAAAGCGGGUGAAAAGCCCGCUCGCCGGAAGACCAAGGGUUCCUGUCCAACGUUAAUCGGGGCAGGGUGAGUCGACCCCUAAGGCGAGGCCGAAAGGCGUAGUCGAUGGGAAACGGGUUAAUAUUCCCGUACUUGGUGUUACUGCGAAGGGGGGACGGAGAAGGCUAUGUUGGCCGGGCGACGGUUGUCCCGGUUUAAGGGUGUAGGUGUGUGUUCCAGGUAAAUCCGGUUCACUUUAACACUGAGGCGUGACGACGAGGCACUACGGUGCUGAA